rnacentral:tRNA from 1 species
GCCGGGGUGGCCGAGCGGCCUAAGGCGGCGGACUCGAGAUCCGUUGCCCGCAAGGGCGCCCGGGUUCGAAUCCCGGCCCCGGCGCCA